GCGGGCCCAAUACACUGCCCUGUGGUACCCCGCUUGUGGCAGUUUACGGCUCCAAUUGGUUGUUACUGUAGUGUUCAGACAACUACCAUAUUGCUGCCUCGCUGAUCGUGGUUAAUGAAGUUCCUCGUGUCAUUCGUCGAGGAAGGUGACGUGAAGAUGUAAGAUAUGGGCCACAAGACGAAGGUUUGUUUUGGUUAACGGGUCUCUUGCUGCACCACAUUGGAAACUUUCUGUUAUAACCUAGGAUAUUGUGAUGUCACGUCUCAAGACCAAGUGAAACUAAGUAGAAGUUCACAAUGUCAAGCAGA
rnacentral:lncRNA from 1 species